AGUCUCGUAACCGAAUUGGCAUAGGUACUGCACUAAGGAUGCAGGUUUUGUGGGUUCGACUCCCAUCGGGACUA
rnacentral:tRNA from 1 species